rnacentral:rRNA from 1 species
UAGGGAAUAUUAGUAAUGGGCGAAAGCCUGAACUAGCAACGCCGCGUGUGCGAAGAAGGCCUUCGGGUUGUAAAGCACUUUUUGAGAGGAUGAGGAAGGACGGUACUCUCAGAAUAAGUCUCGGCUAACUACGUGCCAGCAGCCGCGGUAACACGUAGGAGGCGAACGUUAUCCGGAUUUACUGGGCGUAAAGCGCGUGUAGGUGGUUUGGUAAGUAGGGCGUGAAAGCUCCUGGCUCAACUGGGAGAGGCCGUUCUAAACUGCCGAACUAGAGGAUGGUAGAGGGAGGUGGAAUUCCGGGUGUAGCGGUGGAAUGCGCAGAUAUCCGGAGGAACACCAGUGGCGAAAGCGGCCUCCUGGACCAUUCCUGACACUCAGACGCGAAAGCUAGGGUAGCAAACGGG